GAUGAAGAACGUAGCGAAAUGCGAUAAGUAGUGUGAAUUGCAGAAUUCAGUGAAUCAUCGAAUCUUUGAACGCACAUUGCGCCCUUUGGUAUUCCUUAGGGCAUGCCUGUUCGAGCGUCAUUUAAACCUUCAAGCUCAGCUUGGUGUUGGGUGACUGUCCGCUUCACCGCGGACUCGCCUCAAAAUUAUUGGCGGCCGGUACAUUGGCUUCGAGCGCAGCAGAAACGCGAACUCGGGCCCGUCGUAUUGGCUCCCAGAAGCUAUCUUCACAAUUUUGACCUCGGAUCAGGUAGGGAUACCCGCUGAACUUAAGCAUAUCAAUAACCGGAGGA
rnacentral:misc_RNA from 1 species